UACAGAGGGGGCAAGCGUUGUUCGGAAUUACUGGGCGUAAAGGGCGCGUAGGCGGCCUGCUAAGUCGAACGUGAAAUCCCUGGGCUCAACCCAGGAACUGCGUCCGAUACUGGUUGGCUUGAAUCCGGGAGAGGGAUGUGGAAUUCCAGGUGUAGCGGUGAAAUGCGUAGAUAUCAGGAGGAACACCGGCGGUGUAGACGGCUCUCUGGACCGUAACUGACGCUGAGACACGAAAGCGUGGGUAGCAAACAGG
rnacentral:rRNA from 1 species